UCGAACGAGAAAGUGGAGCAUCCAUGAGUACAGUGGCGUACGGGUGAGUAACACGUGGGUAAUCUACCUCUUAGUGUGGAAUAACUUUGGGAAACCGAAGCUAAUACCGCAUAAGCUCGAGAGAGGAAAGCAGCAAUGCGCUGAGAGAGGAGCCCGCGGCCGAUUAGCUAGUUGGCAGGGUAAAAGCCUACCAAGGCAUAGAUCGGUAGCCGGCCUGAGAGGGCACACGGCCACACUGGCACUGAAACACGGGCCAGACUCCUACGGGAGGCAGCAGUGGGGAAUCUUGCACAAUGGGGGAAACCCUGAUGCAGCGACGCCGCGUGAGCGAUGAAGCCCUUCGGGGUGUAAAGCUCUUUCGGCAGGGAAGAUAGUGACGGUACCUGCAGAAGCAGCUGCGGCUAACUACGUGCCAGCAGCCGCGGUAAUACGUAGGCAGCGAGCGUUGUUCGGAGUUACUGGGCGUAAAGGGUGUGUAGGCGGUUGUUUAAGUUUGGUGUGAAAUCUCCCGGCUCAACUGGGAGGGUGCGCCGAAUACUGAAUGACUUCGAGUGCGGGAGAGGAAAGUGGAAUUCCUGGUGUAGCGGUGAAAUGCGUAGAUAUCAGGAGGAACACCGGUGGUGUAGACGGCUUUCUGGACCGUAACUGACGCUGAGACACGAAAGCGUGGGUAGCAAACAGGAUUAGAUACCCUGGUAGUCCACGCCCUAAACGAUGCAUAUUUGGUGUGGGCAGUUCAUUCUGUCCGUGCCGGAGCUAACGCGUUUAAUAUGCCGCCUGGGGAGUACAGUCGCAAGGCU
rnacentral:rRNA from 1 species